GUGGACCCACCCCGUCCCAUCCCGAACCGGGUCGUGAAACACUCCAGCGCUGAAGGUACUGCAAGGUUGCCUUGUGGGAGACUAGGUCUGUGCGCCAU
rnacentral:rRNA from 1 species